GGCGACGAUCGGUAGCCGAACUGAGAGGUUGAUCGGCCACAUUGGGACUGAGACACGGNCCAGACUCCUACGGGAGGCAGCAGUGGGGAAUAUUGCGCAAUGGGGGGAACCCUGACGCAGCAACGCCGCGUGAAGGAUGAAGGCCUUCGGGUUGUAAACUUCUUUGAUUGGGGAAGAAGAAAGUGACGGUACCCAAAAAACAAGCCACGGCUAACUACGUGCCAGCAGCCGCGGUAAUACGUAGGUGGCGAGCGUUGUCCGGAAUUACUGGGUGUAAAGGGCGUGUAGGCGGGGGCGGCAAGUCAGAUGUGAAAUUUCGGGGCUCAACCCCGAAGGUGCAUCUGAAACUGCUGUUCUUGAGUGUCGGAGAAGGAAAGUGGAAUUCCCAGUGUAGCGGUGAAAAUGCGUAGAGAUUGGGAGGAACACCAGUGGCGAAGGCGGCUUUCUGGACGACAACUGACGCUGAGGCGCGAAAGCGUGGGGAGCGAACAGGAUUAGAUACCCUGGUAGUCCACGCCGUAAACGAUGGAUACUAGGUGUAGGGGGUAUCGACCCCUUCUGUGCCGGAGUUAACACAAUAAGUAUCCCACCUGGGGAGUACGGCCGCAAGGUUGAAACUCAAAGGAAUUGACGGGGGUCCGCACAAGCAGUGGAGUAUGUGGUUUAAUUCGAAGCAACGCGAAGAACCUUACCAGGGCUUGACAUCCCCUGACCCCCUUGGAGACAAGGGUUCCCUUCGGGGCAGGGAGACAGGUGGUGCAUGGUUGUCGUCAGCUCGUGUCGUGAGAUGUUGGGUUAAGUCCCGCAACGAGCGCAACCCCUGUUGCCAGUUGCCAUCAUUAAGUUGGGCACUCUGGCGAGACUGCCGGUGACAAAUCGGAGGAAGGUGGGGACGACGUCAAAUCAUCAUGCCCCUUAUGUCCUGGGCCACACACGUACUACAAUGGCGGUUACAGAGGGAAGCGAAGCCGCGAGGCGGAGCAAAUCCCCAAAGGCCGUCCCAGUUCGGAUUGCAGGCUGAAGCCCGCCUGCAUGAAGUCGGAAUUGCUAGUAAUGGCAGGUCAGCAUACUGCCGUGAAUACGUUCCCGGGCAUUGUACACACCGCCCGUCACACCAUGAGAGUCUGCAACACCCGAAGUCAGUAG
rnacentral:rRNA from 1 species